CCUACGGGAGGCAGCAGUGAGGAAUAUUGGUCAAUGGACGAGAGUCUGAACCAGCCAAGUAGCGUGAAGGAUGACUGCCCUAUGGGUUGUAAACUUCUUUUAUAUGGGAAUAAAAUGUUCCACGUGUGGGAUUUUGUCUGUACCAUCUGAAUAAGGAUAGGCUAACUCCGUGCCAGCAGCCGCGGUAAUACGGAGGAAUCGAGCGUUAUCCGGAUUUAUUGGGUUUAAAGGGAGCGUAGGUGGAUUGUUAAGUCAGUUGUGAAAGUUUGCGGCUCAACCGUAAAAUUGCAGUUGAAACUGGCAGUCUUGAGUACAGUAGAGGUGGGCGGAAUUCGUGGUGUAGCGGUGAAAUGCUUAGAUAUCACGAAGAACUCCGAUUGCGAAGGCAGUUCACUGGACUGCAACUGACACUGAGGCUCGAAAGUGUGGGUAUCAAACAGGAUUAGAUACCCGUGUAGUC
rnacentral:rRNA from 1 species